rnacentral:rRNA from 1 species
GAUGAACGCUGGCGGCGUGCCUAAUACAUGCAAGUCGAGCGAACGGACGAGAAGCCUGCUUCUCUGAUGUUAGCGGCGGACGGGUGAGUAACACGUGGAUAACCUACCUAUAAGACUGGGAUAACUUCGGGAAACCGGAGCUAAUACCGGAUAAUAUUUUGAACCGCAUGGUUCAAAAGUGAAAGACGGUCUUGCUGUCACUUAUAGAUGGAUCCGCGCUGCAUUAGCUAGUUGGUAAGGUAACGGCUUACCAAGGCAACGAUGCAUAGCCGACCUGAGAGGGUGAUCGGCCACACUGGAACUGAGACACGGUCCAGACUCCUACGGGAGGCAGCAGUAGGGAAUCUUCCGCAAUGGGCGAAAGCCUGACGGAGCAACGCCGCGUGAGUGAUGGAGGUCUUCGGAUCGUAAAACUCUGUUAUUAGGGAAGAACAUAUGUGUAAGUAACUGUGCACAUCUUGACGGUACCUAAUCAGAAAGCCACGGCUAACUACGUG